CUCACCUUUACCUUCCUGAAAAAUCACAAAAAUGCCUAAACACAUAAUAUAACAUAUUAUUUCAGAAGUCCUCAUUUCUACUCUUCGACCGUGCGACGGCACCUCAGCUUCCCGAUUGUGAGGGCUGCAAGAAUUGUCGUUCUUCUGAUCCUCACUUUUCUUCACAGAGGUCCCUUUGAGACACUCUGGCUAUGACAUGUAGGCAGGUGGUCAGGCUUUAUUAUGGCCGUCAAAACACCUACUUGCUGAUAUCUG